rnacentral:rRNA from 1 species
GAGUUUGAUCAUGGCUCAGAUUGAACGCUGGCGGCAGGCCUAACACAUGCAAGUCGAGCGGUAGAGAGAAGCUUGCUUCUCUUGAGAGCGGCGGACGGGUGAGUAAUGCCUAGGAAUCUGCCUGGUAGUGGGGGAUAACGCUCGGAAACGGACGCUAAUACCGCAUACGUCCUACGGGAGAAAGCAGGGGGACCUUCGGGCCUUGCGCUAUCAGAUGAGCCUAGGUCGGAUUAGCUAGUUGGUGAGGUAAUGGCUCACCAAGGCGACGAUCCGUAACUGGUCUGAGAGGAUGAUCAGUCACACUGGAACUGAGACACGGUCCAGACUCCUACGGGAGGCAGCAGUGGGGAAUAUU